rnacentral:rRNA from 1 species
AGAGUUUGAUCAUGGCUCAGAUUGAACGCUGGCGGCAUGCCUUACACAUGCAAGUCGAACGGCAGCACGGGGGCAACCCUGGUGGCGAGUGGCGAACGGGUGAGUAAUAUAUCGGAACGUGCCCUGGAGUGGGGGAUAACGUAGCGAAAGUUACGCUAAUACCGCAUACGAUCUACGGAUGAAAGUGGGGGACCGCAAGGCCUCAUGCUCGUGGAGCGGCCGAUAUCUGAUUAGCUAGUUGGUGGGGUAAAAGCCUACCAAGGCAUCGAUCAGUAGCUGGUCUGAGAGGACGACCAGCCACACUGGGACUGAGACACGGCCCAGACCCCUACGGGAGGCAGCAGUGGGGAAUUUUGGACAAUGGGGGCAACCCUGAUCCAGCAAUGCCGCGUGAGUGAAGAAGGCCUUCGGGUUGUAAAGCUCUUUUGUCAGGGAAGAAACGGCGAGCUCUAAUACAGUUUGCUAAUGACGGUACCUGAAGAAUAAGCACCGGCUAACUACGUGCCAGCAGCCGCGGUAAUACGUAGGGUGCGAGCGUUAAUCGGAAUUACUGGGCGUAAAGCGUGCGCAGGCGGUUGUGCAAGACAGAUGUGAAAUCCCCGGGCUUAACCUGGGAAUUGCAUUUGUGACUGCACGGCUAGAGUGUGUCAGAGGGGGGUAGAAUUCCACGUAGCAGUGAAAUGCGUAGAUAUGUGGAGGAAUACCGAUGGCGAAGGCAGCCCCCUGGGAUAACACUGACGCUCAUGCACGAAAGCGUGGGGAGCAAACAGGAUUAGAUACCCUAGUAGUCC